rnacentral:rRNA from 1 species
AUUGAACGCUGGCGGCAGGCCUAACACAUGCAAGUCGAACGGUAACAGGAAGAAGCUUGCUUCUUUGCUGACGAGUGGCGGACGGGUGAGUAAUGUCUGGGAAACUGCCUGAUGGAGGGGGAUAACUACUGGAAACGGUAGCUAAUACCGCAUAACGUCGCAAGACCAAAGAGGGGGACCUUCGGGCCUCUUGCCAUCGGAUGUGCCCAGAUGGGAUUAGCUAGUAGGUGGGGUAACGGCUCACCUAGGCGACGACCCCUAGCUGGUCUGAGAGGAUGACCAGCCACACUGGAACUGAGACACGGUCCAGACUCCUGCGGGAGGCAGCAGUGGGGAAUAUUGCACAAUGGGCGCAAGCCUGAUGCAGCCAUGCCGCGUGUAUGAAGAAGGCCUUCGGGUUGUAAAGUACUUUCAGCGGGGAGGAAGGGAGUAAAGUUAAUACCUUUGCUCAUUGACGUUACCCGCAGAAGAAGCACCGGCUAACUCCGUG